GAANAGAAACUACAAGGAUUCCCCUAGUAACUGCGAGUGAAGCGGGAAAAGCUCAAAUUUGAAAUCUGGUGGUUUUUGACCAUCCGAGUUGUAAUCUAGAGAAGUGUUACCCGUGCUGGACUGUGUACAAGUCUCCUGGAAUGGGGCAUCAUAGAGGGUGAGAAUCCCGUCUUUGACACGGACUACCAGUGCACUGUGGGUGUGCUCUCGAAGAGUCGAGUUGUUUGGGAAUGCAGCUCAAAAUGGGUGGUAAAUGCCAUCUAAAGCUAAAUAUUGGCGAGAGACCGAUAGCGAACAAGUACCGUGAGGGAAAGAUGAAAAGAACUUUGGAAAGAGAGUUAAACAGUACGUGAAAUUGCUGAAAGGGAAACGCUUGAAGUCAGUCGCGUUGGCUAGAAAUCAGCCUUGCUUUUGCUUGGUGUACUUUCUGGUCUUUACGGGUCAGCAUCAAUCUUGACCACUGGAUAAAGUCUGUGGGAAUGUGGCAUCUUUGGAUGUGUUAUAGCCCAUAGUCGCAUACGGUGGUUUGGAUUGAGGAACUCAGCACGCCCGCAAGGGACGGGUUUUAAUCACGUUCGUGCUUAGGAUGCUGGCAUAAUGGCUUUAAUCGACCCGUCUUGAAACACGGACCAAGGAGUCUAACAUGCCUGCGAGUGUUG
rnacentral:rRNA from 1 species